rnacentral:rRNA from 1 species
UACGUAGGGGGCAAGCGUUGUCCGGAUUUAUUGGGCGUAAAGAGCGUGUAGGCGGCCAGGUAGGUCUGCUGUGAAAACUCGAGGCUUAACCUCGAGCUGUCGGCGGAAACCAUCUGGCUAGAGUCCGGAAGAGGAGAAUGGAAUUCCCGGUGUAGCGGUGAAAUGCGUAGAGAUCCGGAGGAACCCCAGAGGCGAAGGCGGCAGCCUGGUUGGCUCCUGACGCUCGGACACGACAGCAUGGGGGAGCGAACGGG